rnacentral:rRNA from 1 species
CCUACGGGAGGCAGCAGUAGGGAAUAUUGGGCAAUGGAGGCAACUCUGACCCAGCCAUGCCGCGUGCAGGAUGAAGGCGUUAUGCGUUGUAAACUGCUUUUAUAUAGGAAGAAAGAGUUCUUGCGAGAACAGUUGACGGUACUAUAUGAAUAAGCACCGGCUAACUCCGUGCCAGCAGCCGCGGUAAUACGGAGGGUGCAAGCGUUGUCCGGAUUUAUUGGGUUUAAAGGGUGCGUAGGCGGUUUAUUAAGUCAGUGGUGAAAGACGGUCGCUCAACGAUUGCAGUGCCAUUGAUACUGGUAGACUUGAGUGAGAUUGAGGUAGCUGGAAUGGAUAGUGUAGCGGUGAAAUGCAUAGAUAUUAUCCAGAACACCAAUUGCGUAGGCAAGUUACUAAGUCUCAACUGACGCUGAGGCACGAAAGUGUGGGUAUCAAACAGGAUUAGAUACCCUGGUAGUCCACACUGUAAACGAUGAUAACUAACUGUUGGCUUUCGGGUCAGUGGUACAGAGAAAUCGUUAAGUUAUCCACCUGGGGAGUACGCGGCGACGNGAACGUUAAAGAAGUUAGAGG